rnacentral:rRNA from 2 species
ACAGGGAUUGCCCUAGUAACGGCGAGUGAAGCGGCAACAGCUCAAAUUUGAAAUCUGGCUCUUUUAGGGUCCGAGUUGUAAUUUGCAGAGGGCGCUUUGGCUUUGGCAGCGGUCCAAGUUCCUUGGAACAGGACGUCACAGAGGGUGAGAAUCCCGUACGUGGUCGCUAGCUAUCGCCGUGUAAAGCCCCUUCGACGAGUCGAGUUGUUUGGGAAUGCAGCUCUAAAUGGGAGGUAAAUUUCUUCUAAAGCUAAAUAUUGGCCAGAGACCGAUAGCGCACAAGUAGAGUGAUCGAAAGAUGAAAAGCACUUUGGAAAGAGAGUCAAACAGCACGUGAAAUUGUUGAAAGGGAAGCGCUUGCAGCCAGACUUGCUUGCAGUUGCUCAUCCGGGCUUUUGCCCGGUGCACUCUUCUGUAGGCAGGCCAGCAUCAGUUUGGGCGGUGGGAUAAAGGUCUCUGUCACGUACCUCUCUUCGGGGAGGCCUUAUAGGGGAGACGACAUACCACCAGCCUAGACUGAGGUCCGCGCAUCUGCUAGGAUGCUGGCGUAAUGGCUGUAAGCGGCCCGUCUUGAAACACGGACCAAGGAGUCUAACAUCUAUGCGAGUGUUUGGGUGUCAAGCCCGAGCGCGUAAUGAAAGUGAACGGAGGUGGGAACCCGCAAGGGUGCACCAUCGACCGAUCCUGAAGUUUUCGGAAGGAUUUGAGUAAGAGCAUGGCUGUUGGGACCCGAAAGAUGGUGAACUAUGCUUGAAUAGGGUGAAGCCAGAGGAAACUCUGGUGGAGGCUCGCAGCGGUUCUGACGUGCAAAUCGAUCGUCAAAUUUGGGCAUAGGGGCGAAAGACUAAUC